rnacentral:rRNA from 1 species
AUCACGCCGCGUGAGGGAUGAAGGCCUCUGGGCUGUAACCUCUUUUAUCAAGGAAGAAGAUCUGACAGUACUUGAUGAAUAAGCCACGGCUAAUUCCGUGCCAGCAGCCGCGGUAAUACGGGAGUGGCAAGCGUUAUCCGGAAUUAUUGGGCGUAAAGCGUCCGCAGGCGGUCUUGUAAGUCUGUCGUUAAAGCGUGGAGCUUAACUCCAUUUGAGCGAUGGAAACUGCAAGACUAGAGUGUGGUAGGGGCAGAGGGAAUUCCCGGUGUAGCGGUGAAAUGCGUAGAUAUCGGGAAGAACACCAGUGGCGAAGGCGCUCUGCUGGGCCAUAACUGACGCUCAUGGACGAAAGCCAGGGGAGCGAAAGGGAUUAGAUACCCCUGUAGUCCUGGCCGUAAACGAUGAACACUAGGUGUCGGGGGAAUCCACCCCCUCGGUGUCGUAGCCAACGCGUUAAGUGUUCCGCCUGGGGAGUACGCACGCAAGUGUGAAACUCAAAGGAAUUGACGGGGGCCCGCACAAGCGGUGGAGUAUGUGGUUUAAUUCGAUGCAACGCGAAGAACCUUACCAGGGUUUGACAUCCUGCGAAUCCCUUGGAAACGAGGGAGUGCCUUCG